UACGAAGGGGGCUAGCGUUGCUCGGAAUCACUGGGCGUAAAGCGCGCGUAGGCGGGUCGUUAAGUCGGGGGUGAAAUCCUGGAGCUCAACUCCAGAACUGCCUUUGAUACUGGCGAUCUUGAGUCCGGGAGAGGUGAGUGGAACUCCGAGUGUAGAGGUGAAAUUCGUAGAUAUUCGGAAGAACACCAGUGGCGAAGGCGGCUCACUGGCCCGGUACUGACGCUGAGGUGCGAAAGCGUGGGGAGCAAACAGG
rnacentral:rRNA from 1 species